AAAUUAUACAGUAAUUAACUCUUUCAUCAUUGUACGAGUCUUCUGAGCGCUUUCACUCUCUUUUUCUGUCGUCAUCUCCCCCGAAUCCCGCGUGUGUGGUUUCAGUUUCUCGGGAAAUAAUACAAGUAGUAAAUAUUUUCCAUCUAUCCAAUCAGUCUGUUCUCAUCAUUCAAUUCUGAGGUGAACCUGAAAGUCCAAGCUAACUUUGAUGCUCUGAGAGGUUCGAUCCGCUGAUCUGCUAUAUAGCAUGGAAAGAAUCGUCGGAGGGAAAUUCAAGCUUGGCCGUAAGAUUGGAAGCGGAUCAUUCGGCGAAAUCUAUCUAGCUACUCAUGUUGAUACGUUCGAGAUCGUCGCUGUGAAGAUUGAAAACAACAAGACGAAACAUCCACAACUGUUUUACGAGGCUAAGUUAUAUAAUAUCCUUCAGGGAGGAAGUGGUAUUCCUGGGAUAAAAUGGUCUGGUGUAGAUGGGGAUGACAAUAUCCUUGUCCUGGAUUUGCUGGGACCAAGUCUUGAAGAUCUGUUUGUCUAUUGUGGUAGAAAGUUUUCACUAAAGACAGUGUUGAUGUUGGCUGAUCAAAUGAUAACAAGAAUAGAAUAUAUGCAUUCUAAAGGAUUUUUACAUAGGGACAUCAAACCUGAUAACUUCCUUAUGGGGCUUGGUCGAAAAGCAAACCAGGUUUACAUUAUUGAUUUUGGGCUUGCAAAAAGAUAUCGAGAUUCUACAACCAAUCGCCAUAUUCCUUACAGGGAGAACAAAAACUUAACCGGAACUGCACGCUACGCAAGCUGUAAUACUCAUCUUGGAAUUGAGCAAAGCAGGCGUGAUGAUUUAGAAUCUCUUGGAUAUGUACUUCUAUAUUUCUUGAGGGGAAGCCUUCCAUGGCAAGGUUUAAAGGCCGCCACAAAGAAGCAGAAAUAUGACAAAAUUUGUGAAAAGAAGUUAUCAACUCCCAUUGAGGUUUUAUGCAAGUCUCACCCAGUGGAGUUUGCAUCAUAUUUCCAUUACUGCCACUCGUUGACAUUUGAUCAGCGGCCUGAUUAUGGAUUCCUGAAACGUCUGUUCCGCGAGUUGUUCACUCGUGAAGGAUAUGAAUUUGAUUAUGUAUUUGAUUGGACCAUCCUGAAGUACCAACAGGCACAAAAGAGUAAACCUCAGCCACUAUUAUCUCCAGUUCCUGGAGAGAGCAGCAGUCGGGUAAUGCCAGUGGAUGUGGACAAGCAUCAAGUGGGUAACAAUGCUUCCUAUACUGCUGAAGUAAAAGAACGCAUGAGGUCAAGCAAUGCCGCCAGUCCUGGCAUUCGCGUGCAAUUUAAAUCACCAAUUGACAGGAACUUGAGCUCUGACAAUCACCGUGAGAGACACAUCCUGAGCAGUGAACACAUCCCAUCCACUUCAUUUCCUCUUGUUGGGGUCUCCAAGAGAAAUGCCCCAAAACCUGUAUUACCCGCUGAAACCACGAACUCCAGCCAUGGGCAUGGCGACAAAGUUGGUCCUUCAGGCAGCUGGAUUUCAUCCCUGCACCGUAUUUCUUCUGCCAAGUGAUUGAUUUGCUAUAGAUUUGGAAAAGAUAUUUGGAUAUAUCUACAGAGGUGCAAACAUACCAUAAAUUUAAGUAGCUAUCAUUCCUCUCGGGGUGUCAACUUGCAUACUAUAAGUUCAAGGUGAUUACAAGCACAUGGGAUGAUCCUUGAAUAUACUGCUCAGAUAUUGGUUGACAUGACCUAGGGAUGCAUCUCUGGUGGAGCAAACAAGCUGUGAAUAUGUAUCGCAACAUUUGUCUAUAGGUGGCAGCUCGUUAAUAUAUUUUUCUUAAGGUGACUAAAAAUACAUUGGUUGAUUGAAUACAGACUACUCAAGAGUUUGGAUCCUCUUCUGUAAAUAGAUGUCACAAUCACAGCAACUUGUGUUUUACAGUUCUUUGUAACAUGAAUGAUGCGUCUGGAAAAGGCUUUGAGAGUUGAGUUGAGUUAUUGCUCCCGUGCGUCCAAACUCCUUCCAUUUCAGGGAAUGCUAUAUGAGAUUUUCCAUAUGAACUGAUGGGGCCAUAUGAACAUUUAUUAUGAUAAUCAAACUUCACAUAAAGCAAAAAUUGUGGCUCACAAGAGCUUUCGAAAUUAAGAUCAUGGAGAUACUAAAGGUAUAGCCUUAGCAGGAUGCUGUCACGAGGGUGAAAUGAAUCAGGGGAAUACCAAGUAGCAUACGACGAUGGUAGUGAAGAUCAUGGGACAAAUGACUAUGUCUCCUUCUACUUCUGCUUCAGGGGAAGGUUGGCGUACUACUGCAUAGGGGACAGGUGAAAAGGGAUUAUGGAUUGUUCAGGAGGUGACAGAAAAGCUAAUUUUCCACCUUAGAUUUGAGAAGAUAUUAUGAAUUGGUUAUUUUUCACCAGGGAAAACAUAAUGUGUGAUUUCGCAGCCAUGAUGCUUUGAAAUCAAGUAUCUAAAAACAAAAGCAGACUUGCUGGUAAUGCUUGAAAAUCCAUGCCAGCAAUACCUGCUGCUCUUAUAGCUUAAUUGGUUGCUCAUGUGGCAUUCGGAUCCAGCAGCUUGUGAAGCUGUGUAAGGCAGAAGCCUAGGGAUGAGAAUGCUGAAAAGCCAAGGCAGUAAUAAUUGUUGCUCACUCAAAAUGGUUUGUGUCUGUUCUUAUUUGCAUCAAGCAGCUGGCAAAACUGAUGGACAGAGAGGGAGGUUUAGGGUUCAGUUAGCUUCUUAUUUUUUGCGGCUUGAAAUGACAUCCGGCUUGAAGUCAUAAGAAGUCCAACGCAAAAGUUGGAUUUCAAUUUGGAUGCCACUGAAAAGCCGAGUGUGCCAAUCCAUAGCUUUUCAAGACAUGGCAUGACCCCUCUUGCCUAUGUCUUGCCUUGGGACAACUAUUGAGGGGCUAACACUUGGUCCACUUGGGGAAACUAUAAUAUCUAUCUUGCUUUCUUUUCAUUGUAGCAAUGCCAUUUUUCUCUAUAGAGGUCUUCGGAAUAAGCUGCCAGGUAUAGCUCUGUAUCUGUUACCUAAUUGAGGACCAAUAACAUCAUCAUACUUUUCAGUAAUGUGGCAAAUAUAAUUGCACAUUUUUUAUUUUUUUGGA